rnacentral:rRNA from 1 species
GGUCAAGUGACCAAGCGUGCACGGUGGAUGCCUUGUGAUCGAGGCGAUGAAGGACGUGGUAAUCUGCGAAGGUUCGGGAGUCGAUAAACAGACUUUGAUCCGAACAUGUCCGAUAGGGGAAACCACCCGCUUGCGGGUAUCGUAUGGUGAAUACAUAGCCAUACGAGGCGAACGAGGGGAACUGAAACAUCUAAGUACCCUUAGGAAAAGAAAUCAACCGAGAUUCCCUAAGUAGCGGCGAGCGAGGGGAUUAGCCUUAAGUUAUUUUGGUGUUAGUAGAAGGCUCUGGAAGAGAGCCGCCGUAGAGAGUGAUAGCCCCGUAUACGAAUGUCUACCGAAAAUGCCAUUAUAGUGAAAACGAGUAGGACGGGACACGUGGUAUCCUGUCUGAAUAUGGGGACCAUCCUCAGAAACAAAUACCCUGACUGACCGAUAAUGCAGAAUGAUACAUGAGAAAGGAGCGAGAAAGGACCCUGUGAGGGGAGUAAAUAGAUCCUGAAACCCGUGUACAUGCAAGCAGUGGGAGCUGGACUUAGUUUCAUGGGCGCUGUAAGCCUUUUGUAAUAGGUCACAACGACUUAUUUUUGGCAACAGGAUUAAGCAUGUAGUGGGGCCGUAGAAACCGAGUCAACAGCGGGCGUUGAAUUUAUAGAAUGAACCCGAAAACACCGGGCGAUCUAUCCGCCGUGGUUGAAGGUUGGGCUAACAUCGCUGGAGAAUGAACCCCUUCCGUUAAGAAAAGGCUGGGAUGACUUGUGGAUAGGGAGUGGCUAAUCAAACUCUGGAGACAGCUGACAGUUCUCUCAGCUAUUUAGGUAGCGCCUCUGGCUUACUCUCACCAUUAGAGGUAGAAACUGUUUAGGCUGGGGGUCAUGUUUUCCACCAACCCCAUGCAAACUCCGAAUACUGUGAGUGCAAUACAGGGGGAACACUGGCAGGUGCAACGCAUCUAUAGUGUGGAAGAGCUCUUGAAUGAUCAUUAGGAUUCCAAUUUACAGUUAAUUUAAGGAAAAGCAUUCUUGGAAGGCUUGAGCUGGCUAGGAGGUUGGCCAGAAGCAGCCAUCCUUUAAAGCGUAACAUUCACUAGUCGAAUCGGCCUGCACGGAAAGGUACAACGAGAAUAAAGCUAGCCGCACCGAAGCUACGGAUGUAGUGUGGGCAUGGUGAGGAAGAGUUCUUAGCCGUUGAAGGUCAAGCUGUAGAGCAGGCUGGAAGUAUCAAGAGGUAGAAUGUUGUGUGAUGGCAAUGAGGGAAGAAAAACUCCCCGCCACGGGGGAGUAAGUUUCCUGUCCCAUGUUAAUCAGGGCAGGUGAGUCGGCCCUAAGGCGGGCAGAAAUGCGUAGUCGAUGGAAAACAGGUUAAUAUUCCUGUACGCGAAUGUAUAUUGCGAUGGAGAGAGACGGAGAAGGCUAGGCCAGCACAGCGAUGGUUGUCUGUGUUUAAGGCGGUAGGUUAGGUGCUUAGGCAAAUCCGGGCACCUCAUUUAGUGGGAAAGAUCGAAACUGAUGACGAGCCCUCUUUUGGGCAAGUGGUUGAUGCCAUGCUUCAGGAAAAGCACAAGCUUCAGAUAUAUGACAUUUACAAAUGACACAGGUGGUCAGGUAGAAUACCGAGGCGCUUGAAACUCGGGUGAAAGACUAGGCAAAAUGUUUGUCGCUUCGGGGAGAAGAAUUGCCGGCUGGUGUGAAGGACUUGCUCAUGGCACUGAUCGGUCGAAGAUACCCGGUGGCUGCGACUGUUUAUUAAAAACACAGCACUCUGCAAACACGAGGUGGACAUUAUAGGGUGUGACGCCUGCCCGAGUGCUUGAAGGUUAAUUGAUGCAAAUUUAGCGCGGCCGAAGCUCUUGAUCAAGCCCAAGUAAACGGCCGUAACUAUAACGGUCCUAAGGUAAUAAAAUUCCUUGUCGGGUAAAGUUUGACCUGCACGAAUGUAUUGCUGAUGGCCACACUGUGCGAGACUCAGUGAAAUUGAAAUCACUGAUGAAGAUGCUGUAUCCGCGGCUAGACGGAAAGACCCCGUGAACCUUUACUAUAGCUUCACAGUGAACUUUGAACCUAUUUGUGUAGGAUAGGUGGGAGGCUUUGAAGAUAGGACGCUAGUUCCUUUGGAGCCAAUCUUGAAAUACCACCACAGUAUGUUUGAGGUUCUAACUCAGGUCCAUUAUCUGGAUCGAGGACACUGUGUGGUGGGUAGUUUGACUGGGGCGGUCUCCUCCCAAAGAGUAACGGAGGAGCGCGGUGUGCUAGGCACUGGUCGGAAAUCUGGCCGAGUGUAAAGGCAAAAGCACGCUUAACUGCGGUUCGAACCCGUCGAGCAGGUACGAAAGUAGGUCUUAGUGAUCCGGUGGUUCAUAUGAGAGGGCCAUCGCUCAACGGAUAAAGGUACCGGGAUAACGACGGUGAUACCGCCCAAGAGUUCACAUCGGCGGCAGUGUGGCACCUCGAUGUCAGCUCAUCACAUCCUGGGGCUGAAGCGGUCCAAGGAACACUGGCUGUUCGCCAUUUAAAGUGGUACGCGAGCUGGGUUUAGAACGUCGUGAGACAGUUCGGUCCUACCGUGGACGUUUGAGAUUUGAGAGGAGCUGCUCCUAGUACGAGAGGACCGGAGUGGACGAACCUCUGGUGUUCCGGUUGUCACGCGAGUGGCAUUGCGGGUAGCUACGUU